rnacentral:rRNA from 1 species
GACGAACGCUGGCGGCGUGCUUAACACAUGCAAGUCGAACGGAAAGGCCCUGCUUUUGUGGGGUGCUCGAGUGGCGAACGGGUGAGUAACACGUGAGUAACCUGCCCUUGACUUUGGGAUAACUUCAGGAAACUGGGGCUAAUACCGGAUAGGAGCUCCUGCUGCAUGGUGGGGGUUGGAAAGUUUCGGCGGUUGGGGAUGGACUCGCGGCUUAUCAGCUUGUUGGUGGGGUAGUGGCUUACCAAGGCUUUGACGGGUAGCCGGCCUGAGAGGGUGACCGGCCAAAUUGGGACGGAGAUACGGCCCAGACCCCUACGGGAGGGAGGAGUGGGGAAUAUUGCAAAAGGGGCGGAAGCCUGAUGCAGCACCGCCGGGUGCGGGAUGACGGCCUUCGGGUUGUAAACCGCUUUCGCCUGUGACGAAGCGUGAGUGACUGGAAUGGGAAAAGAAGCACCGGCUAACUACGG